UUUUCAGCAAAUCCACCAUUUUCUGGUCCAAAGAGACAAUUAGAUAUGAAACUGAUGGCAACAAAGAACAUAAUUGAACACAGAAUAAGCAAACAGAGGCUCAAAAACAACAAAAAGCAAAUCGCACAUCCAAAGAUUGGUGACGAAAGUAACGUUUUCAGAUCAAAGAAAUGAACCUUUCCAUUCAAGCAGCUAGGCAGAGUGAGAUAGGAGAAAGAGAGAUCUGUCCACGAGGCAUGGGCAAAUCAAAGAGCCACCUCCAGUCGCUGCUUCACCAUGGCUAGAAAACCCAUUAAAAGCAGACAGAGUUGCGUGGCAUCAAGAAG
rnacentral:misc_RNA from 1 species